ACGAACGCUGGCGGCGUGCUUAACACAUGCAAGUCGAACGGUGAAGGGGCCUGCUUUUGUGGGCCCUGGAUGAGUGGCGAACGGGUGAGUAACACGUGAGUAACCUGCCCCCUUCUUCUGGAUAACCGCAUGAAAGUGUGGCUAAUACGGGAUAUUCUGGGUCUGUCGCAUGAUGGGUCUGGGAAAGAUUGCGCCUUUGGGUGUUUUUGGUGGGGGAUGGGCUCGCGGCCUAUCAGCUUGUUGGUGGGGUGAUGGCCUACCAAGGCGGUGACGGGUAGCCGGCCUGAGAGGGUGGACGGUCACACUGGGACUGAGACACGGCCCAGACUCCUACGGGAGGCAGCAGUGGGGAAUAUUGCACAAUGGGCGCAAGCCUGAUGCAGCGACGCCGCGUGAGGGAUGGAGGCCUUCGGGUUGUAAACCUCUUUCGCCAGUGAAGCAGGCCUGCUCCUUGUGGGUGGGUUGACGGUAGCUGGAGAAGAAGCGCCGGCUAACUACGUG
rnacentral:rRNA from 1 species